CUUCCCCUCCCAGGGCCGCUCCUUACGCACGCUGGCUGCCCGCUCUCGUAAAGAGUCACCUGGUUUUGAAUCUCCUUCAGAAUCAGCUGAAUCAUGAUGGAAUGUUUGCUCUGCUUACACAAACUUUUCCUCAAGACAAGGUGAAAUGUUUGACCAAACAUCAAGGUUUAAUCCCAGUUGGCAACUAAGCACCACCCACCUGCUCAGUCACUGCCCUGUCGCAGGAUGAAGGAGAGAAUCGCAGAAGGUUGUGCAUCCUGGUUUCCAGAGGCUCCAUGAUACAGCAUUCACUCAGGCUGCAUAAGACAUGGCUUCAUUCCUGUUUAAGGCAAUUGUGACUGUGCUCCAGAAAUGCAGAACAUAUGAGCAACUCUGCAUAUAGAACUGGCAGGUCUACAGUUUUUCACCAAAACAAGAGACUGAUCCAGCUCCAGCUUUCUCUUUCUAUUCUGAGAGGCCUCAGCCUGGUGACAUCAAAGACAGGAUUAUGUGAGAAGAUAAAAACUUGAUCUAAUGUCCAUGUUUGAAGUCAUGAAAGUCCUCUUCUCAUCAAGCCAAAAUAAC